UACGUAGGGUGCGAGCGUUGUCCGGAAUUAUUGGCGUAAAGAGCUCGUAGGCGGUCUGUCGCGGUCGAAAUGUGAAAACCCGGGGCUCAACUCCGGGCUUGCAUUCGAUACGGGCAGGCUAGAGUUCGGUAGGGGAGUCUGGAAUUCCUGGUGUAGCGGUGAAAUGCGCAGAUAUCAGGAGGAACACCGGUGGCGAAGGCGGGACUCUGGGCCGAUACUGACGCUGAGGAGCGAAAGCGUGGGGAGCGAACAGG
rnacentral:rRNA from 1 species